GACGAACGCUGGCGGCGUGCCUAAUACAUGCAAGUAGAACGCACAGUUUAUACCGUAGCUUGCUACACCAUAAACUGUGAGUUGCGAACAGGUGAGUAACGCGUAGGUAACCUGCCUGGUAGCGGGGGGUAACUAUUGGAAACGAUAGCUAAUACCGCAUAAUAUUGAUUAUUGCAUGAUAAUUGAUUGAAAGAUGCUAUUGCAUCACUACCAGAUGGACCUGCGUUGUAUUAGCUAGUAGGUGAGGUAACGGCUCACCUAGGCGACGAUACAUAGCCGACCGGAGAGGGUGGUCGGCCACACUGGGACUGAGACACGGCCCAGACUCCUACGGGAGGCAGCAGUAGGGAAUCUUCGGCAAUGGACGAAAGUCUGACCGAGCAACGCCGCGUGAGUGAAGAAGGUUUUCGGAUCGUAAAGCUCUGUUGUAAGAAAAGAACGGGUGUGAGAGUGGAAAGUUCACACUGUGACGGUAUCUUACCAGAAAGGGACGGCUAACUACGUG
rnacentral:rRNA from 1 species